rnacentral:rRNA from 1 species
UUGAACGCUGGCGGCAUGCCUUACACAUGCAAGUCGAACGGUAACAGGCCGCAAGGUGCUGACGAGUGGCGAACGGGUGAGUAAUGCAUCGGAACGUGCCCAGUAGUGGGGGAUAGCCCGGCGAAAGCCGGAUUAAUACCGCAUACGACCUGAGGGUGAAAGGGGGGGAUCGCAAGACCUCUCGCUAUUGGAGCGGCCGAUGUCAGAUUAGCUAGUUGGUGGGGUAAAGGCCUACCAAGGCAACGAUCUGUAGUUGGUCUGAGAGGACGACCAGCCACACUGGGACUGAGACACGGCCCAGACUCCUACGGGAGGCAGCAGUGGGGAAUUUUGGACAAUGGGCGCAAGCCUGAUCCAGCAAUGCCGCGUGCAGGAAGAAGGCCUUCGGGUUGUAAACUGCUUUUGUCAGGGAAGAAAUCUUCUGGGUUAAUACCUCGGGAGGAUGACGGUACCUGAAGAAUAAGCACCGGCUAACUACGU